GUUGCUGAUGAGAGGAGCGCAUGCGUGAGUCCCUCUCAAGCGCUGCCUUUGAGGAGCAUUUACUCAGUGAGUGGAAGAGGUUUAUUUGAAACAGACGGCAAUGAAGAGAUCAGCGCCCAGGGAAGCGAGGGAACAGCAGGCUUCUUCCUGCAGCACAUCGAAAUGCAAAUAUUUGAUGGGCCAAGACAAUGUAAUAUUUCCGUGGUACAAAACCAAGUGUGACUAACUGCUCCUACCAAACAGCAGGCAAAUACAUGAAGGAACAAGACAGUGUAGCAUUUCCUUGGUACAAAGCCAAGUGUGAGCAGCUGCUUCUCACAAACAGCAGGAGGAAUUGCAUAUCAGGACAAGUUUCAGAUUUAACCCUAUAUUGCCAUUGAAUUUGUUUGUACAACUCGACGAACUGAAUAGCAGAACCCAUCUGAUACACUACUGCUGAAUAUAAAGUUUGUUAUUAAAUGGACCAGAAGGAAAUCGAAUAUUGACCUGAAAAGAUACAGCAAAUAACAUACAUUCAAGCAGAUACCAAGAUUGUUGACUCACAAUUAAGAACGUCUCGCACAGUGAGCUUGCAACAAAUGAACAUUAAGCUCUAAACACAAUCAGACCAGAGACUGACCAAUAUUAGAAUAAAACUUCAACUGUACUAUAGACUGAAUAUUGUGGAAUAUACUCAACCUUCAGGCACAUUGCUAGAGCCAGAGAAUGGUAUAAACACUGACAAUUUCACUUACAGCACCUUACACACAUGGCUGCAAAUAAAAUCUGAUUCAUGUU